AUCACUUCUCAGCCUUUUGGCUAAGGUCAAGUGUAGUAUCUGUUCUCAAUUUAAUAUCUGAUAUGUCCUGUAAUCCCAGCUACUCGGGAGGUCGAGGCAGGAGAAUCACUUGAACCCAG
rnacentral:snRNA from 1 species